rnacentral:rRNA from 1 species
UUUUUUGGCUCUUUUGCCGUCUUUUCCGGGCGUUCUCAACCCCCACACCCCCCCCCCCCUUUAGAGUUUUAGAUCCUGCUCAGGACGAACGCUGGCGGCGUGCCUAAUACAUGCAAGUCGAGCGGACAGAUGGGAGCUUGCUCCCUGAUGUUAGCGGCGGACGGGUGAGUAACACGUGGGUAACCUGCCUGUAAGACUGGGAUAACUCCGGGAAACCGGGGCUAAUACCGGAUGGUUGUUUGAACCGCAUGGUUCAGACAUAAAAGGUGGCUUCGGCUACCACUUACAGAUGGACCCGCGGCGCAUUAGCUAGUUGGUGAGGUAACGGCUCACCAAGGCGACGAUGCGUAGCCGACCUGAGAGGGUGAUCGGCCACACUGGGACUGAGACACGGCCCAGACUCCUACGGGAGGCAGCAGUAGGGAAUCUUCCGCAAUGGACGAAAGUCUGACGGAGCAACGCCGCGUGAGUGAUGAAGGUUUUCGGAUCGUAAAGCUCUGUUGUUAGGGAAGAACAAGUGCCGUUCAAAUAGGGCGGCACCUUGACGGUACCUAACCAGAAAGCCACGGCUAACUACGUGCCAGCAGCCGCGGUAAUACGUAGGUGGCAAGCGUUGUCCGGAAUUAUUGGGCGUAAAGGGCUCGCAGGCGGUUUCUUAAGUCUGAUGUGAAAGCCCCCGGCUCAACCGGGGAGGGUCAUUGGAAACUGGGGAACUUGAGUGCAGAAGAGGAGAGUGGAAUUCCACGUGUAGCGGUGAAAUGCGUAGAGAUGUGGAGGAACACCAGUGGCGAAGGCGACUCUCUGGUCUGUAACUGACGCUGAGGAGCGAAAGCGUGGGGAGCGAACAGGAUUAGAUACCCUGGUAGUCCACGCCGUAAACGAUGAGUGCUAAGUGUUAGGGGGUUUCCGCCCCUUAGUGCUGCAGCUAACGCAUUAAGCACUCCGCGUGGGAGACGCCACGCUG